rnacentral:lncRNA from 1 species
AUAUGUGACAAGAAACAAAUGAGAUUUAUGAAAAACUGGGAAUAAGCUACUCCAAGACUACUUAGCUAAAAGAUUUAUUUUGGAGUUGUUCAACUGGGCAAUCCAUCAAUCCAUCGUAUUCCUCUCAUCUUAUUGGAGUACUUGCCUUGAUUGUGUUCCUGAAUUAGCACAAGAGUAACAGAUGCAGCAUGCAUUUGCCAAUAUGCAUUCAUGCCAUAGUGUACUGCCAUCGAAGUAAAGUUUGCUGGUAGAUCUUGUGCUGAACGGGUUGAACAACCAAAAAGAAAUUGAGAUGAGAGUCCCGUGAUCACAUGACCCGACAGAAAAAAUAGACUUUCAAGAUGCACCUGAAUCAUUCGUGCAGCCAAGCUGCUGAGCCAAGACCCGUCUCCAGUCGCAAUCCAGCAUUGCCCAGGAGCCGCGGUCAUAUCCAGUCGCGAGCUGGCAAUGUCUAUGCGCCAUGAAUGAUCCAAUGGUGUUGGUAUUUUGUCCUACAACAGUGGAAUUCAGCGAGGUACUUAUACCAAAAUACCUUUUUUGCGGGACCUAUACCAAGAUCCGAUGGGGCAGCAUCUUCCAGUUCCAUGUCUUUUUUGUUUCGUUCUCCUGUACAUAUUCCCUGCAGAUUAUUGUGGGUGCUCAUCAUGCCAAUAAUUUGUACUUGAGAUGCAUGCCGUCAGACUCUAAACUUUUUGAUGGAAGUGGUAAAUACUCUAAUUUUGACAAAAGACGAUGCCAUUCGCGUCUGCUGCGUUUAAAUAGCAAUCUGAAUUUAACCAUAUCUACUGCUUGAUCUGCAACACACAGGCGUAUGGCCUCUCAACACUAAUUCCCCUAGCCUCUCAGCCACAGCCUCCACACUCGUCUCUAGGUCUCCUCAUCCUUUGACCCCCGCCGUCGCCAUCUCUGCCUCUGCCUUGCUGCCUUCACCGUUGCGGCGGAGCACGCAACGAUCGAAGUGCUGGAAGCCUUCCUAGUGGUGGCCGUCAGAGUGUCAAGCCUGUGUCUCCAUUGCUAUCCUGCCGUGCCACCUGACCAGGAAAGACAGGUGCGCUCCCUCGUGGCUAUGCCUGACGAGGUAGCAGAUCAUGCUUCUGUACAUUAAGAAACAAUACAAAAUACAGAAAACAAAUACAAUCUGAAAGGUUUAAAGGGCAAAGAAGCAUUAAGAAGACUAAUUAAUUAGGAAACCUGCAGACAUAUCACAGAUCCGAUGAGGCUAACUCAAUUUUCCAAAUUUCUUGCAACAGUGAUUUGUGUUUGAAGCCGUUACGCAGGUGGUGGUGAUCGAGACCACACAGGGGAUUCAUGUAGAAACACCUAAACCAAUGAUUGAAAAUUGGUACCUCAGUUGGAGUUGAGUGGACGGCGUUCGACGAAGUAGUCGAGAUUGGAACCUCGACUGGAACUCGAGCAGACGGUCUCGACUGGAACUCGAGCGGAUGGUGUUCUGGUGAAUUAGGCGAGAUUGGAAGCUUCGGCUGCUAGUGUGGCACUUUCGAGCACCGUAACUUGUGAUCGCUCGGGGUUUGGGGGGUCGAGCCUUUUUUAUGGUAGCGAGGGGAUCAGAUGAAAUCC